UAGUGUUCCAGGAUCUAUCUGCUCAGAGAGGAGAGUCUGUGGCAGAAAGUAUUUGGGGCUGGACUAUACAGAGACACCCAGCCAGAUGAUGAAGGUGGAACUCAGUCCUGAGUGCCACCAAAGCUACUGAGAGGCUCAUCAUUAGGUUGAAGUCUUUAAAGAACACAGAGAAACACAGAGGGUGGUGAAACAAAAGAGAUGAUUUCUUUACAGUUUACCCUGGCUUCCAUACUGCUUCAAGAACCCCUGUGGUGUCACCAUGAAACAGCUAAGAUUGGAAAGAAAAAAAAGCCUUCAGAUACUAUGUUAAACACUCUGUCAAAAACCGCGAUAGAGAGAAGAUUCAGCUUAGGGCAUACGUUGCCAAGAAGAGCUGGGAGAGACAUGGUUAAUCUGGGCUCGGUCACCAUCUGAAUAAAAGAAUCUAAGGGAGCUAACUGUGUCAGUUUCUCACUCCAGCCGAUUACAAAUUAUUCUGUUUCUGGCAGAGGUAUACUUGCUGGCUGUUUCAUGUGGUAACACGGGCUUUGAAAAGGGAAACACUAGUGUUAGUGAAGGGUGUAGCUAGCAAUUUGAAAUUGGUACACACAGCAGUCAGUCCAUUGCUCCCCAUCCUCAUCAUUCCCCCCCCAAAGUAGGUUUGCCAUUAAACACAGUGUGAGAUCCUGCCCAGUGGGGAUGCAAGCCCUCCACCCUCUCCCCGUGCCUCUGUCUCAUUCAGACACAACAGAAAUAAGACAAACUCACAUUCCGAUAGCUCUUUGGAAGUACUUUAUCAUUGAGCAUCCUGCGUCCUCAUCUUUUCAGAGGACACAAGGUAGGAGCGAAGAUGAUGGCCAGAAGAGAAAGGGUGGCAGAGAAGGAAGCAAUAAGAUGAGAACACACUUAUGUAUCUAUCAAAAAGGGCAAGGAUGGAAGAGAUUGGGAAACUAGCUUCACGCACUUUCAUGAGCAAAUAUCAAAACUCUUAUGCUAGGUUGUGAAAACCCCAAGCAGACAAGACAGUCUCUAGCAUCAAGUUGUUCAGGUUUGGCUGGGGAGGACUAUGCACAGAAGUAUACCACAUAUAAAACCUUGGAAGUAUUUAAUUGGCAUGGAAGCCACUGCAUUAGAAAUCAUGGUAGUGCAAGAGAAAAGGAUUAAUAGCAAAAUGUAAUUAGUUUGAUUGUUUGUGUGUCUGUCUGGAGACAGAAGUGUGGGUAUGUGCCAUAGUGCCAAUACAGAGGCCACAGGACAACUUCCCGGACUCAGAUUCCAUCCAUCCCUGUGGGUCCCAGGGAUGGAACUCAGGUCAUCAGUCUAGGUGACAAACACCUUUGCAUACUGAGCCAUCUCACUGAGAAAGGAUCUUUUCCAGGGGAAAAUAUGACUUAGCUGUUGUUCAGAUGUCUGUAAUGGGGAGAUACACUCCAACGAGAGCACAGUCAGAGGGGCAGUGGCAGCAUUGCUGGUCCUAGAAUGAGAAAUCCUCUGAUGGCAGUAUGAUUAAAAGGUGAGCAGUGAUGGGAAGGAACAUGGGUGGGACCAAGAGGGAGGCCUAUGGCAGACCAUGGGUCUGGUGAAUAUGAGCAUGCUGCUGGUAUCCAUGGAUUUCUCUUAAAGCAAGAGGGUAGCAGGAGAAAGCUUUCAGGUAUGGAAGAGCUGUGAUCAUUUUCAAAAGCUUCUUCGCAAGGCAGAAUGGAUAAUGAGCAGCAGGAGAGAAAGACUGAAGGGAUGGAGACGAAAGCCAUCCAUGGAAACAGGAGGGAGCCGAGUUCCUGUGAUCGCUACAGACAUCUGGAACCUGUGCUUGGUCUUAUUAAAGGUAAUAGUUUUAACACCUUCUAACUCUACUUCAUUCAACCUGUGUGUUCCAAGUUCGUGUGUUGAAAUUCAGUCCCUAAGGCAGUGAUCUUAAGAGAGAAGGCCUUUGGGAGAGCACAGAUCUAAGGAGUGGAACAAGUUCUCUUAGAAAAGAGGCCCAAGGGGCUCAUUUACCUUGUCUUUCUGUGAGACAGUGAGAAGGUAUGGGAAUGAAGCAGAGAGCAAGCUCUCAGUUAGCACAGACAUUUGUCAGCUCUUGAUCUCACAAUUCCCAGCCUGCAGAACUGUACGGAGUUCUUUGGCAUAUAAGUUCCCUAGUCUGAAGUAGUUUGUGAUAGCCGACUAAGUAGACUCAGACACUACCACUGUUCUACAUGUUACAAUGAUAAACCAGCCUUAGUUUUCUGUCUUCCAUUCAUUUUCCAUAUUAGGUACCAGCUAUAUCGUUCCCAAUCCUACCAGUUCUGGGAUCCCAUUGCCAGAAUGUACAACUAUUCUUCACUCCCACUGGCUAUGCGUCCUUUCACAAGGAAUGGAAACUUCUUAUUGUCUGAAUUCCUAAUUAGAGAUAUCUGUAAUCAUUGUACUCACCUUUUUAGACCAUUAUUCUC
rnacentral:lncRNA from 1 species